UGUAAUCAUCUCCCCAAACUCCAUAGUUUGGUAAUAAAUUAACAUUUUUAACAAGUGAAAAAUGCUUAUGUAGAUACGUAAUGACUUGAGGUCUUAGUUUCCUUCUCUAUAAAAAUGAAAGCAUUAGUCUAGGUGAUGUCUAACGUCCUUUACAUCUUGAAUAUUAAAAACAAAAAGAAAAACCCAAUACAGCUAAUUCAGUUUUUCACUACUGAGUAUGCUAUUAGCUUUGGACUUGUCUUAUAUGGCCUUUAUUAUGUACAGGUACAUUCCCUCUAUAACUACUUUGUUGAGAGUUUUUAUCAUGAAUGGAUGUUGAAUUUUGUCAAAUGCUUUUUCUGCAUCAUAGGAAUGAGAUGGGAUCAUAUGAUUUUUAUCCUUCAUUUUGUUAAUGUGGUUUAUCACAUUGAUGGAUACGCAGAUAUUGAAUCAUCCUGGCAUUCCUAGAGUAAAUCUCACUUGAUCAUGGGAUAUGAUCCUUUUAAUGUAUUGCUUAAUUUGGUUUGCUAGUAUUUCGUUGAGGAUUUUUACAUCUAGUUCAUUAAGGAUAUUGUCCUGCAAUGUUACUCUUGUAGUGUCCUUCUCUUAUUUUGUAACAAGGUAAAGCUAGUCUCAUAAGAUGAUUUUGGAAGUGAUCUCCCCACCCCCUUAAUAAGUUCCUUGGGGGAUGAAUGGUUACAAUUUACUAAUGUAGUUAUAUAUAAUAUGAGUAUCCAAGAACUCUGAUGAUCUGCAGAUAAGAAAUAUUAGUUUAUAUUUUUUACUAUGUAUAUUAAGAGAAAUUCUAUGUCAUCAGAGGCAAAAAUUACCCCCAAUAGUUGUUCUGAAAAAAGAUUAAAACAUCAAUAUAUUGGAAACUAGAAGAAAUGGAUUAAUUCCUAGAAACAUACAACCUACCAAGAUUGAAUCAUGAGAAAAUAGAAAAUCUGAACAUACUGAUUCCUAGUAAGGAGGUUGAUUCUGUAACCAAAAAUCUCCCAACAAAAAUGAGUCCAAGACUAGAUGACUUCAUGGUAAAUCCUACCAUGUGAGAUGGAGACCAAUCAUGUGGUAAUGGUAGCAAAGGAUCAAUAAGCAAUGCUAGAUGUAGAAAUCAUACUGAAUAUUUACAAACAGAAGAUCUUUAUCUUACAUUGUUAUAAAAGAAUAAGGUAAAAUAUCACACAGAUACUUUCUGGAUAUUUUUAAUGUCUACUUGAAUUGGGUUACUGUAUUAUCCUUUGCCAGUAGAUAACACUAUCUGAUAUGAUAUCCUCUCAACAACCAGGAUAUUAUAUUCCUUACAUUCUAGACCUCAAAUACUUUUUAAAAAUUAGUUUCCUUUAUUGUCUGUUUUAUAAAAUUGAAAGUCUGUAUUUCAAGUUUCUUGAAAAUGAAGGUCAUUUUAAUUAUCUUGAACAUUUUAACAUUAUAAAAGCUUUUCCUUUAUUCCUCUUUCUUUUCUCCUUUCCUUUCUCCAUUUAAUCUUCAGAGUUUGCAUUUUCCCUCUUCAAUGAAAUUUCUCUUUUUCUAUAGUAUUGCAAGUAAAGUGACACUUGAUUUUGCUUUAGUUUGAUAUGGUAGCAGCAGAAGCAUAUGAAAUUUCUUCAAAUUUCUUUCCAACUCUGGCUCUAAUUUUGUUAUUUCUGAGCACAUACAUUUUUUGAAAUAGACAUUGUAUUUUUCCCUUAUAAAACUCAACACCCAGGAAAUGAAUAAUCCAAUUAAAAAUGGGCAGAUGAUUUGAACAUUUUUCCAAAGAGAAUAUACCGAUGUCCAAUAGACACGUGAAAAGAGGCUCAACAUCACUGAUUAUCAGGGAAAUACAAAUCGAAACCACAAGGAGGUAUCACCUCACACCUGUUAGAAUGGCUAAAAUCAACAACACAAGAAACAAGUGUUGGUGAGGAUGUGGAGAAAGGGGAACCCUUUUGCACUGUUGGUGGGAAUGCAAACUGGUGCAGCUACUCUGGAAAACAGUGUGGAGGUUUCUCAAAAAGUUAAAAAUGGAAUCACCUCUGAUCCAGCAAUUGCACUAACUAGGUAUGUAUUUACCCAAAGAAUACAAAAAUAACUAAUUCAAAGGGAUACAUGCACCCUGAUGUUUAUAGCAACGUUAUCUACAAUAGCCAAAUUAUGGAAACAGCCUAAGUGUGCAUCAUCUGAUGAAUGGAUAAAGAAGUUGUGGUGUGUGUACACACACACACACACACACACACACACACACACACACACAUAUAUGCAUAUAAUGAAAUAUUACUCAGCCAUCAAAAAGAAGGAGAUCUUGCCAUUUGCAAUGUGGAUGGAGCUAGAGAGUAUUAUGCUAAGUGAAAUAAGUCAGUCAGAGAAAGACAAAUACCAUAUGAUUUCACUUAUAUGUGGAAUUUAAGAAACAAAACAAGCAAAGGGAAAAAUAGGAGCAAACCAAGAAACAGACUCUUAAGUAUAGAGAAUAGACUGAUGGUUACCAGAAGGGAGGUGGGUGGGGGGGAUGUGUUAAACAGGUGAUGGUGAUUAUGCAAGGCACUUGUGAUGAGCACUGGGUGUCAUAUGGAAGUGUUGAAUCACUGAAUUGUACACCUGAAACUAAUAUUACACUAUAUGUUAACUAAUUGGAAUUUAAAUAAAAACUUAAAAAGAAAUAGAUACUAUAUUUCAAUUGGGUAUUUCCCAAGUAACACAGUGCUUAAAAAAGUCUAGGAGAAAAUAUCAGUAAGUAUUGAUGUGAUCCUCAAUAGAGAAGAACUUCCUAAGCCUAAGGACAAUGGAAAAAAAUAAAAGAUUAAUAGAUUUAUGUGUUAAUAAGUUAAUAUACACAAUAUAUUUAAAUACAAAAAUAAUAAAAUCAUAGAUUUAAAUGGCACACUAAAAAUUUUUAGUUCUUUAGUUUUGUUUAAAGAUAAUGCCUCAUGCUGUGUAUGAUAUGAUCAUGUUCAUAAAUCUCUGGGAGUAUAAAAUGUUACAACUUUCCUGGAAUGUAACUUGGUAUCUUAAUAUCAGGAAUAUUGAAAUUACCCACAGCAUUUUUUUGGACCUCAGGAUUCUGUUAUAAGAAAAUCUAUUUUAGGGGUGCUUGGGCGGCUCAGUCGGUUGAUCUUGGAGUCAGCCCUCAGAUUCUCUCUCUCCCUCUCUCUGCAGCUUCCCCACUUGUGCUUGCUCUUACGUGCGCUCUCUCUCUCUCUCUCUAAAUAAACAUUUUUUAAAGAAACAAAACAGGGGUGCCUGGGUGGCUCAGUUGGUUAAGCGUCAGACUCUUGAUUUCAGCUCAGGUCAUGAUCUCACAGUUGGUGACUUGAAGCCCUGUGUUGGGCUUUGCACUGACAGUGAGGACCUUGCUUGGGAUUCUCUCUCUCCCUCUCCCUCUGCCCCUCUCCUGCUUGCAUUCACUCUCUGUCAAAAUAAAUUUUAAAAAAUCUACCUUAAAUAAUUGUACAUGUAUAUAAAUAUUUAUAUGUAAAGAUACUUCCUGCAGUAUUAUUCAAAAUCAAUAAAAAUAAAAAUAAAAUCAAAAAUAGAAAACAAUCCAAAUAUUCCUCGGCGAUUAAAUAUAGAAUUGUGUACUUAUACAGUAUAGUAUUAUGAAGUCAUUAAAAUGUUUGCAAAAAUUUUUAUAAAGUUUUAAAAUGCUUAUGUUAUAAUGGUAAUUAAGACAGGAAGAUAACCUGCAUAAAACAUGACUUCAUGUAUUUGGGAGAAAAGAGAAGAUUCAAAAGACAUAUACAAAUUGUGAGUGAUUUUUCUUUUUAAGAAAGAAAUUGUGAGUGAUUUUUUUUAAGUUUAUUUUCAGAAAGAGAGAGAGAGCGAGGAAGGAGAGCAUAAGAGCAUGAGUGGGAGAGAGAGAAUCCCAAGUAGGCUCCGCACUGUCAGUGCAGAGCUUAACAUGGGGCUCAAACUCACAAACGGUGAGAUCAUGACCUGAGCUGAAACCAAGAUUUGGACACUUAACCAACUGAGCCACCCAGGCGCCCCUAUAUCGUAUUUUAAUGAAGGGAAAAACAUUGAAAAACAAACAUAGUAGAGAUCACAUUUGCUGUGAAACAUGACAGUAGAAUUUUCGGAUGAUUAAUUCUUCAAGCAGUGUAUUGCAUAUUCCUAAAAAGAAAUAAGACAGGAAAAAAUGGAAAAAGUAUUUUUUGUGUAAAGGUAUAUUUUGUUUACUCAUAUGGCAAAGCAUACUCAUUCACCGGACAUUGUGAGAAUACCUUCUAGGUUAGGAGCAAACUACUACACACUCACGUUAUAUCUGCACAAAGAAGGCAUGAUCCUUGACACCAGGGAUCUUUGUAUCUAGUAGGGAAGAUAAAAGAUGUUCAUAAAGAAUUGUUAAGCUAAUGCAUUUAAGAUGAUGUAAAGCAUGAUAAAGUAUUCUGGAAGUCUGGAGGUAAAAAGUCACUCAGGGAGGAUGAGAAAAGAUUGUGGAAAGGGUGACAUUCAGAUGGGCCCUUAGAGAGUGAGUCUGAUUUCAGUCUUUAGAAGUACAAGGGAAUGCAUUCCAGGCAGAGGAAAGACAUAGUCAAACAAACAUGAGAUGAGAAAAUAUGGGAGCAGCUUCUAGAUCAAUGAAAACUUUUUAAAAUAACAACUUUUUAUAAGACUUUAUAGUCUAGUGGUUUUAAUGUAUUUACAGAGGUGUAUAACUGCCACCAAUAAUCUAAUUUUGGAACAUUUUAGAACAUUUUCAUCACCCCCAAAAGAAACCCUGUUACCUAUUAGUAGUCAGUCCCCAUUUUUCUUCCUCUCCAGAUUCUGGCAACCAUGAAUCUAUUUUCUGUCUGUAUGGAUUUGCUUAUUCUGGACAUUUCAUAUAAAUGGAAUCCUAUAACAUGUUGACCUUUUCUGACUAGCCUCUUUCACUUAGCAUGACGUUCAUCCACGUUUUAGUAUGUAUCAGUACUUUAUUUCUUUUCAUUGCCAAACAUUAUCCUGUAUGGAUAUACCACAUUUUAUUUAUUCAUUCAUCAGCUGAUAGGCAUUUGGGUUGUUUCCACCUUUUAGCUGUUGUGAAUAAUGGUGCUAUGAAUGUGUGUGCAAGUUUUUAUAUAGGCAUGUUUUCAGUUCUCUUGGGUUUAACCUAGGUGUGGAAGAGCUGGAUCAUAUAGUAAGUUCUCAAUUGUUGCAAGCCUUUGGUUAAUUUCCAAAGUUCUGGAAGACUUGAUUCUUCACAUUUGCCAGUAUUCUUAUUGCUUUUAUGAAUGAGCAACAAGAUUUUUUUCUAAGAUCUUUUUAAAGAUCCUUGCACUGCCAUUCUGGAAUUGCUUCUCCUGAAUACUGUUUGUUUGUGUGCCAUGAGGUGGGUUGGUGCCAGAUGCUGGUGUGCCUUUUUAAGACCAUUUUUUUAAAAUGCUUCUGAGCAGGAGUGCAACUUGUUAUUCCUUGGUCAUAGAGCUGUUUAUGCCUUAGAAACUGGAACAGAGCAUACAGAUGCCUCAGUGCAUUUAGGGGCACUUUCCACAGGCCAAUAAAAAUAACUCUGUGGAGAGCCAAAGCAUAAGAGGCUCUUAAAAACUGAGAACAACUGAGGGUUGAUGGGGGGUGGGAGGGAGGGGAGGGUGGGUGAUGGGUAUUGAGGAGGGCACCUUUUGGGAUGAGCACUGGGUGUUGUAUGGAAACCAAUUUGACAAUAAACUUCAUAUAUUGAAAAAAAAAGGAAUAAAAAAUAAAUUAAAAAAAAAAAAACUCUGUGGGGAAAGCAUGGCAGCAUGCAUGACACACUGGGUAGACCUGGGGAUGUGGAAGGGAAUGUUGAAGAGAAUAUCAAACUUUGCUACUGCCUGUUUGAGAUUGAGCUGCUGUAUAUCAUUUUCUUGUUUUUAGCUGGGAUAAUAUUGCUUCUCCAUACAAGAGAUAUUCUCUGGGCAUAGAGGCACUUUCCCCAUGACUUUUCUUUACAGGUGGGGGAGGUGAAUGCACAGUUCCUUUACUAGUCACAUCUCAGUAGCCAGGGACAGAAAUCAAGUAUCUUAUCUUGAUAAGUAUGUUAUCAGGUGUCUUAUCAAGUACAGGUAAGAAUUGAAAGACCUGGGGAAGUUUAACCUGGAGGAGAGUGAAUAUAAGGGGUUAAUAGGGCAUCUCUCUUCAAAAAGCUGAAAGAUAGGCAUGUGGAAAGCAGAAUAAAUUUAUGUCAACUUCUGUAGAAGACAGUACUAGGACCAAUGGAUCAAAGUUGUAGGAAGGUGGAUUUUUAGGUCUUCUAAAAAGAGAUCUGGCAAUAAGAGCUGGUUUCUUCUGUUCAAAAGUAGUUAGCACCAGCUACUUCUUAGGGAUUGUCAAAGGAAUUCCUGAUUGAGAGAAAGUCUGAAACUAAGGGGGCCUUGCUUAUUUGAAGACUACAUCUAAUAUUUUUCAUGUGUCAUAAUGCCUAUGAAGAGAAGUGGCUUGCCUCAGACUCUUGCUUAAACAAACCUUAGUUCAUUUCUAUUAGUUCCUACCCAAAAGUGAAAUUUUCCUUUAAGAAUAUAAGGGACCUCUCAGAAUUCAAGGAAUAGUUGUACAGCUAGGCUCAGGAAAAAGAACUAAGAUAGCUGUGAGGAACUCAACUGCACCUUUGUUUUAAUACUCUGCCUCACUGACAUGGUUAGUUUCCAAAUACCAGCUUAUGUGCCUUUAAUUUGAAAUUUUCAUAUGAGAUGCUCUGAUUGCCUUGUUUUGAGUCAUGAGUCUACCCUUGAUCCAAUCAGCUAUAGACAAGAAGAAAGGGUCAUAUAAUAGAAGUAAGAUUAAAAUGGUGGCAGGCCUAGGCUUUCUCCUCUGGAUAGUGGUCAGUAGCUCUAAGAGGGGAGAUAGAGUAAGUCACAGACUAGCUAGACACCCCCCAAAAUAUUUAUUACAUUUUCAAAAAUGUCAGCCAGGAUUUCGGCUGUUUGAGUCUGUUUUGGACAACCGAUAUUUAUUAUGUAAUUAUUAUAUGCAAGGUGCCAUGAUAGAUGAUAGGCAGAAUGUAAAAUAUAAUAUAUGUUCCCUGACCUCUGGGUACUUACAAUCACUUUGUCCAUUAGACUGUUCAUUGUUUAAUUGGUUAUCUUGUGUGAAUUUCACUUUGGGAGGACUAACCUACUAAUUAUGUAGAGGCUCCAUAUAAACUUGAGAACAUUUCUCAGUUGUAUAUUAAAGACAUUUGCUUUUUCUAAAUGUCCCCGCAUGUAAUAUUUGUAUAGGUCAAUGCUAAAAGACUGUCAUAAGCUCAAGUCCCCCAAAUAAGCAAAAUGCCCAAUCCUUCCUCCCCAAAGAUAAUGAGUUGUAUGUCUUACAUUGCUGGGAAUAUAUCACAUUAAAAUGUGUGCUUAUUUUUAUAUGUACAUAAGGUGGAAUAUAACAUUAAAUUUUUUUUAAUGUUUAUUUUUGAGAGAGAGAGAGACAGAGCUCGAGCAGGGAAGGGGCAGAGAGAGAGAGGAGACACAGAAUCUGAAGCAGUCUCCAGGCUCUGAGCUGUCAGCGCAGACCCGGAUGUGGGGCUCAAACCCACAGACUGUGAGAUUAUAACCUAAGCUGAAGUCAGAUGCUAAACCGACUCAGCCACCCAGGAUCCCUGAAGAUAACAAAUGUUUUAAGUGUCUGUGAGCUACCCAAUAUGCUAGGAAUAGGAAGCAUAUCAACUAGUACAACAGAUGGUUACAUAGAGUGGAGAAGACAGAGGUGAGAAUGAGAGAGAAGUAAUCUUUUUGUUUCUCAAAGCCAUGAGCAGGAAUAAUAAAACAUUGUAUGCA